GACGAACGCUGGCGGCGUGCUUAACACAUGCAAGUCGAACGGUAAGGCUCCAGCUUGCUGGGGUACACGAGUGGCGAACGGGUGAGUAACACGUGGGUGACCUGCCCUGCACUUCGGGAUAAGCCUGGGAAACUGGGUCUAAUACCGGAUAGGACCGCACCGUGAGGGUGUGGUGGAAAGUUUUUUCGGUGUGGGAUGGGCCCGCGGCCUAUCAGCUUGUUGGUGGGGUAAUGGCCUACCAAGGCGGCGACGGGUAGCCGGCCUGAGAGGGUGGACGGCCACAUUGGGACUGAGACACGGCCCAGACUCCUACGGGAGGCAGCAGUGGGGAAUAUUGCACAAUGGGCGGAAGCCUGAUGCAGCGACGCCGCGUGGGGGAUGACGGCCUUCGGGUUGUAAACUCCUUUCACCAUCGACGAAGGGUUUCUGACGGUAGAUGGAGAAGAAGCACCGGCUAACUACGUGCCAGCAGCCGCGGUAAUACGUAGGGUGCGAGCGUUGUCCGGAAUUACUGGGCGUAAAGAGCUCGUAGGUGGUUUGUCGCGUCGUCUGUGAAAUUCCGGGGCUUAACUCCGGGCGUGCAGGCGAUACGGGCAUAACUUGAGUACUGUAGGGGAGACUGGAAUUCCUGGUGUAGCGGUGAAAUGCGCAGAUAUCAGGAGGAACACCGGUGGCGAAGGCGGGUCUCUGGGCAGUAACUGACGCUGAGGAGCGAAAGCAUGGGGAGCGAACAGGAUUAGAUACCCUGGUAGUCCAUGCCGUAAACGGUGGGCGCUAGGUGUGGGUUUCCUUCCACGGGAUCCGUGCCGUAGCUAACGCAUUAAGCGCCCCGCCUGGGGAGUACGGCCGCAAGGCUAAAACUCAAAGGAAUUGACGGGGGCCCGCACAAGCGGCGGAGCAUGUGGAUUAAUUCGAUGCAACGCGAAGAACCUUACCUGGGCUUGACAUAUACAGGAUCGCGCCAGAGAUGGUGUUUCCCUUGUGGCUUGUAUACAGGUGGUGCAUGGUUGUCGUCAGCUCGUGUCGUGAGAUGUUGGGUUAAGUCCCGCAACGAGCGCAACCCUUGUCUUAUGUUGCCAACACGUUGUGGUGGGGACUCGUAAGAAACUGCCGGGGUUAACUCGGAGGAAGGUGGGGAUGACGUCAAAUCAUCAUGCCCCUUAUGUCCAGGGCUUCACACAUGCUACAAUGGUCGGUACAGUGGGUUGCCAGUCCGUGAGGGCGAGCUAAUCCCGCAAAGCCGGUCUCAGUUCGGAUCGGGGUCUGCAACUCGACCCCGUGAAGUCGGAGUCGCUAGUAAUCGCAGAUCAGCAACGCUGCGGUGAAUACGUUCCCGGGCCU
rnacentral:rRNA from 1 species